GUGGGGAAUAUUGGGCAAUGGGCGAAAGCCUGACCCAGCAACGCCGCGUGAAGGAAGAAGGUCUUCGGAUCGUAAACUUCUAUCCUUGGUGAAGAUAAUGACGGUAGCCGAGAAGGAAGCCCCGGCUAACUACGUGCCAGCAGCCGCGGUAAUACGUAGGGGGCAAGCGUUGUCCGGAAUGAUUGGGCGUAAAGGGCGCGUAGGCGGCCUGGUAAGUCUGGAGUGAAAGUCCUGCUUUUAAGGUGGGAAUUGCUUUGGAUACUGUCGGGCUUGAGUGCAGGGGAGGUAAGUGGAAUUCCCGGUGUAGCGGUGAAAUGCGUAGAGAUCGGGAGGAACACCAGUGGCGAAGGCGACUUACUGGACUGUAACUGACGCUGAGGCGCGAAAGUGUGGGGAGCAAACAGGAUUAGAUACCCUAGUAGUCC
rnacentral:rRNA from 1 species